CCUACGGGUGGCAACAGUGAGGAAUAUUGGUCAAUGGGCUUACGCCUGAACCAGCCAAGUCGCGUGAGGGAAGACUGCCCUAUGGGUUGUAAACCUCUUUUGUCAGGGAGCAAUUGGCGCUACGUGUAGCGUUAUCGAGAGUACCUGAAGAAAAAGCAUCGGCUAACUCCGUGCCAGCACCAGCGGUAAUACGGAGGACGAGAGGUUUAUCCGGAUUUAUUGGGUUUAAAGGGUGCGUAGGCGGAAUGCCAAGUCAGCGGUAAAAUCGCGGGGUUAACCCUGGGUCCGCCGUUGAAACUGGCGUCCGUGAGUGGGCGAGAGGUAUGCGGAAUGCGUGGUGUAGCGGUGAAAUGCAUAGAUAUCACGAAGAACUCCGAUUGCGAAGGCAGCAUACCGGAGCCCAACUGACGCUGAAGCACGAAAGCGUGGGUAUCGAACAGGAUUAGAUACCCUUGUAGUC
rnacentral:rRNA from 1 species